rnacentral:rRNA from 1 species
AGGGUUUGAUCAUGGCUCAGGAUGAACGCUAGCGGCAGGCCUAAUACAUGCAAGUCGAACGGUAACAUUGGUGCUUGCACCAGAUGACGAGUGGCGCACGGGUGCGUAACGCGUAUGCAACCUACCUUUUACUAGAGUAUAGCCCAGAGAAAUUUGGAUUAAUCCUCUAUAACAUCUUUAAGUUUCAUAAUUUUUAGAUUAAAGUUUUAAUGGUAAAAGAUGGGCAUGCGUCCUAUUAGUUUGUAGGUGAGGUAACGGCUCACCUAGACUACGAUAGGUAGGGGCCCUGAGAGGGGGAUCCCCCACACUGGUACUGAGACACGGACCAGACUCCUACGGGAGGCAGCAGUAAGGAAUAUUGGACAAUGGACGAAAGUCUGAUCCAGCCAUGCCGCGUGCAGGAUGAAAGCCCUAUGGGUUGUAAACUGCUUUUAUACAGGAAGAAACACUCCGACGUGUCGGAGCUUGACGGUACUGUAAGAAUAAGGAUCGGCUAACUCCGUGCCAGCAGCCGCGGUAAUACGGAGGAUCCAAGCGUUAUCCGGAAUCAUUGGGUUUAAAGGGUCCGCAGGCGGUCUUUUAAGUCAGAGGUGAAAGCCUACAGCUCAACUGUAGAACGGCCUUUGAUACUGAAAGACUUGAGUUA